rnacentral:rRNA from 1 species
CCUGGUAGUCCACGCCGUAAACGUUGGGAACUAGGUGUUGGCGACAUUCCAGUUGUCGGUGCCGCAGCUAACGCAUUAAGUUCCCCGCCUGGGGAGUACGGCCGCAAGGCUAAAACUCAAAGGAAUUGACGGGGGCCCGCACAAGCAGCGGAGCAUGUGGCUUAAUUGACGCAACGCGAAGAACCUUACCAAGGCUUGACAUACGCCGGAAACGUCCAGAGAUGGGCGCCCCCUUGUGGUCGGUGUACAGGUGGUGCAUGGUUGUCGUCAGCUCGUGUCGUGAGAUGUUGGGUUAAGUCCCGCAACGAGCGCAACCCUUGUUCUGUGUUGCCAGCGAGUAAUGUCGGGGACUCACAGGAGACUGCCGGGGUCAACUGGAGGAAGGUGGGGACGACGUCAAAUCAUCAUGCCCCUUAUGUCUUGGGCUGCACACGUGCUACAAUGGUCGGUACAAAGGGCUGCGAUGCCGCGAGGCGGAGCGAAUCCCAAAAAGCCGGCCUCAGUUCGGAUUGGGGUCUGCAACUCGACCCCAUGAAGUUGGAGUUGCUGUAAUCGCAGAUCAGCAUGCUGCGGUGAAUACGUUCCCGGGCCUUGUACACACCGCCCGUCACGUCCCGAAAGUCGGUAACCCCCCGAAGCC